rnacentral:rRNA from 1 species
AGCAGCCGCGGUAAUUCCAGCUCCAAUAGCGUAUAUUAAAGUUGUUGCAGUUAAAAAGCUCGUAGUUGAAUUUCGGGAUCAAUUUGCUGGUCGUGCCUCUGGUACGUACUGGUAUUAUUGGUUUCUCCCUUCUGACGAACCAUGAUGUCAUUAAUUUGAUGUCGUGGAGAAUCAGGACUGUUACUUUGAAAAAAAUUAGAGUGUUUAAAGCAGGCAUUAGCUUGAAUACAUUAGCAUGGAAUAAUGAAAUAGGACGUUUGAUCCUAUUUUGUUGGUUUCUAGGAUUGACGUAAUGAUUAAUAGGGAUAGUUGGGGGGCAUUAGUAUUCAAUUGUCAGAGGUGAAAUUCUUUGGAUUAUUGAAGACUAACUACUGCGAAAGCAUUUGCCAAGGAUGUUUUCAUUAAUCAAGAACGAAAGUUAGGGGAUCGAAGACGAUCAGAUACCGUCGUAGUCUUAACCAUAAACUAUGCCGACUAGGGAUCGGAUGAUGUUAAUUUUUUAAUGACUCAUUCGGCGCCU